rnacentral:rRNA from 1 species
UACGGAGGGUGCAAGCGUUAUCCGGAUUUACUGGGUUUAAAGGGUGCGUAGGUGGGCAGGAAAGUCAGUGGUGAAAUCUCCGGGCUUAACCCGGAAACUGCCAUUGAUACUAUUGUCUUGAAUACUUUGGAGGUAAGCGGAAUAUGUCAUGUAGCGGUGAAAUGCUUAGAUAUGACAUAGAACACCAAUUGCGCAGGCAGCUUACUACACAGUAAUUGACACUGAGGCACGAAAGCGUGGGGAUCAAACAGGAGUUAGA